UGGUGUUUGAACAGUGGAUGUUUAACUUCGGCAACACUGACUGAGCCUGCUGGUCAUUUUCAUUUUGUUAGGAGACUGUUGGGACAUCAAGUUCCACAUUCUGCAGCCUGCCUAGCUGUGGUCCUGGAGCACAUCUUGGUGGAGAUUAGGCUGCUUGACAGAUAAGAGGUCUGCAAGAGUCUUCAAGGAGCACAUAGGACCAGAGGUGGAAGCUCCUUCAUCCUGAGACAAACAUCAGAGGGCACUAGCUUUGAGGAACUGAGAGAUCCCCCAUCAGUUCACUAAGACAUGAGGCUGCAGCACAUAUCUGUCCAAAGGCAGUUAAGUCAGGAGCAGGAAGCUGCCCUCUGGCUCUUUGGGAGCUAGAGGGAUGAGAAGAGGAUUCCAGAUAUCAGAAAAGAGAAUGAAGAACCAUUUGGGCUUGCUCAUAAAAAGUGUUUUGAGAAUUUAUUUAUCUGCCCUUUUCUUGGAUUAUUGGAGUAUCAACACUUAACAAAUUGCCACCUAUUAUAAUAAUAAAAAAUCAGUGAACAAAAAUAUACUAUGCUUAAUCACUGUUUUGAAUUCAAUAGGUAUUUAGUAAGUAUUUGUCAAUUAAUAAGUGAUUAAUAAACAUGUCAAUUAAUAGAUACGAUUUGCCCAGGUUGAAUCAGGAAGAUAUAUACACAAUUUAAACAGACCAAUAUCAAGUGAUGAAAUAGAAGACGCUAUCAGAAACCUUCCAACCAAGAAAAGCCCAGGACCGGAUGGAUAUAAAGCCUAGUUCUACAAGACCUUUAAAGAAGAACUAAUACCAAUACUCUUCAAUUUAUUGAAAUAGAAAAAAAGGCAGCACUUCCAAACUCAUUCUGAGGCCAAUAUCACCCUGAUUCCAAAACUAGGCAAAAACACAUCAAAAAAAAAAAAAAGAAAAGAAAACUUUAGACCAAUAUCUCUAAUGAACAUAGAUGCAAAAAUUCUCAAUAAAAUUCUGGCAAAUCAAAUACAAAAACAUAUCAAAAAGAUCAUGCACCAUGAUCAAGUGGGAUUCAUCCCAGUGAUGCAAGGUUGGUUCAGCAUAAGGAAAUCAAUCAGUGUAAUUAAUCACAUCAAUAGACUCAAAGAUAAGAAUCAUAUGAUCAUCUCAAUAGAUGCAGAAAAAGCAUUUGACAAAAUAUAGCACCCUUUCAUGUUCCAAACACUAGAAAAACUAGGGAUAACAGGAACAUAUCUCAACAUCAUAAAGGCUAUCUUUGCUAAGCCCCAGGCCAACAUCAUUCUAAAUGGAGAAAAAUUGAAGGCAUUCCCUUUAAAAACUAAAACAGACAGGGAUGCCCUUUUUCAACACUUCUAUGUUAAAUAAGUAUUAAAUAUAGUUCUGGAAACACUGGCCAGAGCAAUUCGACAAAAGAAAUUAAAGAGAUACGUAUAGGAAAAGAAGAACUUAAAUUAGCACUACUUGUGGACAAUAUGAUUCUAUAUCUAGAAGACCCAGAAAGCUCCACCAGAAAACUUCUAGAACCUGUAAAUGAAUUCAGCAAAGUAGCAGGAUAUAAUAUCAACACCCAUAAAUCAAAGUCAUUUCUAUAUAUCAGUGACAAAUCCUCAGAAAGGGAAACAAGGAAAACUACCCUUUUACAAUAACCUCAAAUAACAGCAACAACAACAACAGCAACAAACAACAAACAACAAACAAAAAAACAAAACAAAACCUGGGAAUCAACUAUCAACUUAACGAAAGAGGUGAAAUAUCUAUACAAUGAAAACUACAGAACCCUAAAGAAAGAAAUCAAAGAAGACCGUAGAAGAUGGAAAGAUCUACCUUUCUCUUGGAUAGAUACUUUAUAAAUAUUUGUCAAAGGACUAUACAAUGAAGGAGAUGGAACUGAAUACCUUCAUUUUCAUUACUGGGAGUUUAAAACAGUAUAGCAUCUUGGGAGGCCAAUGUAGCACUAUUGAUUAAUAGCUGGAAAAAGUGCAGUCUUUUAAUCCUGCAAUUUCACCUCUAGAAACACUUUUCCUAAGAAAAUAACUAAAGAAUGUAUAAAGAUGUUUGGUGCCACAGUGUUUAUAAUAGUGGAAAAACUGGCAACAUUCUAAAUGCACAAUAAUUGGGGUUUGUACAAAUAAAGUGUGGCUCAGUUACAGUGUAUGCAAAGGAUACCCAACACAGCCACUACAAAUGCUAUGGUAGAAUCGUAACAUUGGUUUUGAGAACAGCCUUAGGCAUCUAGGAUGAAGUCUGGUUUUGCUGCUUUUGGACUUUGGCAAGUUUACUUAAGCUCUCAAAACAUUAAUUUUCCCAUUUGUAAAGUGGUUAUAGUGAUGCCAACCUAAUGGGGUCAGGAAAAUCUGACAAACACUUAAGACAGCUGCUGGCAGGCCACCAAGGAAAAAUACAAUCCAUCAACUGAAAUGACAUAACUUACAAAGCCAUAUGAUCAUAUUUUUUUUGGUGACAAAUGAAUGUAUAUUAGAUGAAUAUGCAUAGAAGAUGCCUGGAAGUUUAUACAUGCACACAUGUUGACAGUGGUUAUUGCAGAGAGAGAUUGUGCAUGGGCUUUGUUUUUUAGAAUUGUUUGUUUGCAUUUUCUUUUUUUGCUAGUGUGAUUUGGCCAUUUUUGCAAUAAAGCACAUUUGAUUAUAUGUCUGCUGAAAUUUCUAGGUUAUUUGGGAGAGGAUUUUUGUACUGUUGGGUAUAGCUUGAUGAUUUUGCAUGAAGACAGAUCACUGGGACCAAAUGGGCAGUUUCAUUUAGUCUGACUGAAGUUUAUCUGGUAUGAGUCAGUGCCAUCCCUUCUAGAUGAGCCUUCAUCAUUUUCCCAUCAAGGGACUUCGGAGGCUGACUCCUUGGGUGGGGCCAGAAAUGCAGCGUCAGCAUCACCACCCACAAUGCACCCUGGAAGGACUGUAAUGGCAUCAAUAAAAUCGAACGCCUUAUUAAGCACUUGCUACACUUGCUGUCUGCCAUGUGCCAGGCUAAGCACUUUCCAUGUAUUGUCCAGGUCAGAGAAAUCCUGUUAUAGGGAACUAUUGGUACCUUUAUUAUGUGGAUUAGGAAAUGGAGGCAUAGAAAUGCUACCUAAGUGUUCAAGUUCCCCUGGCUACUCUAAGUGCUCUAACCAGGAACUACUGUAUUCAAAUGUGUGACCUCCCAGCCAGAGGGUUCUGACCAAUAAGACACCUUGAUGAUACACAAAGACAUUUCUUAGCACCCAGCUUUGUCGAUCAACUUUAUGCAAGUUUCUUUAUCAAUAAAAUGGCAAUACUAACUACUGUGUCCACCAUGGGGAAUUAAUGAAUUGAUGCUUAAAAGGUACUUAAUGCAGCGCAUGGAUGGAAGACUCAUUCGCAUAGCACUGUUUCUUACUGAACACCAUCUCAGAUCCUUGAUAAUGGUAAUGGGAACCACCAUUAAUAGACUACAUUCAGUAGGGCAGAUUCAGGUAUUUGCUCUCCCUUAUUUACUAUUUCCCUGGGGAUCUGUGGCUGUUCUUGCAGCUCACAUCCAUGAGCUGAAACAAAUUUCUGCCAUAAUCCUUGUAACAUGU